rnacentral:misc_RNA from 1 species
UGGUGUUGUAAUUGCUACCGAGAAGAAAUUACCAUCUAUCUUAGUUGAUGAAGCAUCUGUGCAGAAAAUUCAGACUUUGACAUCAAAUAUUGGAGUUGUGUACAGUGGCAUGGGUCCUGAUUCUCGAGUUUUGGUUCGGAAAAGUAGGAAGUCAGCUGAGCAAUAUUACCGACUCUAUAAAGAACCAAUCCCUGUCACUCAACUGGUG